rnacentral:rRNA from 1 species
AUGGAGAGUUCUCGCUAUCUCCUCCUCCUGCUCAUUGGACUGCUCGUCGCACCCUACGCGGUGGGAGAGCCAUGUGACUCCUGGCACUGGGCGUACCUAACGAGCGUGUUCUGUAUAUCCAAGGAGCAUGACAGCAUACUUGCUUGCUGCGAAGUGCUGAAGUCCAUCGUGAACAUAUCGCUGACAGAGGACCCUUUGUGCAUGUGUAGCCUGACUGCAGAGCCACCUUUUAUCAGCACUGGACUAUUUAUUGAUGAACUCGUCGACAAGUACAUAGCUUGUGGAGGUGACCGUGGUAAAGACGCCCAGGCCCUCUCCGAUGCACAGGAGUAUUUAACCAAAAACUACCACAUUUCACGGACAUGUGACAGAAAACUACCACUUUACGUUUUUGUGCGGAAAACUACCACUAUUUGUCUAAUCUUUGACUAA